rnacentral:rRNA from 1 species
GCGAUCAUAUCAGCACUAAUGCACCGGAUCCCAUCAGAACUCCGAAGUUAAGCGUGCUUGGGCGAGAGCGAUCAAUAGGAUGUGACGUCACGAAAUCCUAAAUGUUGCACUAUUUU